rnacentral:rRNA from 1 species
UACAGAGGUCCCGAGCGUUGUUCGGAUUCAUUGGGCGUAAAGGGUGCGUAGGUGGUGCCGUAAGUCAGGUGUGAAAUCUCGGGCUCAACCCCGAAACUGCACUUGAUACUGCGGUGCUCGAGGACUGGAGAGGAGAUUGGAAUUCAUGGUGUAGCAGUGAAAUGCGUAGAUAUCAUGAGGAAGACCAGUGGCGAAGGCGGAUCUCUGGACAGUUCCUGACACUGAGGCACGAAGGCCAGGGAGCAAACGGG